rnacentral:misc_RNA from 1 species
UCUUUUGGAAAACAAACCUAUUUCAAUCAACAAAAACGUGGAGAGAUGACCCAAUACACAUUUAAAAUAUCAUUUUGUAUCCCAACAAUUGAACGUUUUGAAAAAAUAAUACAAGUCCGGUAGUUCGUGACCAAAGUCGCACAUUAUAUUUAAAAAGGCCACCUUGUUGUGUCUGAAAUGGCUCAGGGGUUAGAGUACCUGGCAUAUGCUAACUGACAAUAGUUAGCAAUUUUGCUAACGCGUCGGUUGACAAUGGUUUUCUCGGGUUGUCAAUUUCAACUGUUACCCUCCCAAACAGGCACUAUUUAUAUAAUGUGAUGCAAUACCACAAGUCCGGAACAAGUUUAUAGAUAAAACAUUCUCGGCUAGACCAAUUGUGCUCAAAUGUUCGUACCUUAUAACAACAUGUAACAUGAAAUUGUUGAAAAAAAUUGUCUAUGUUUAUAAUAAAGAUAUACAUGAG